CCUACGGGAGGCAGCAGUGAGGAAUAUUGGUCAAUGGGCGGAAGCCUGAACCAGCCAAGUAGCGUGCAGGAUGACGGCCCUACGGGUUGUAAACUGCUUUUAUACGGGAAUAACGCGCCUUACGUGUAGGGCUUUGCAUGUACCGUAUGAAUAAGGACCGGCCAAGUCCGGGCCAGCAGCCGCGGUAAUACGGAAGGUCCGGGCGUUAUCCGGAUUUAUUGGGUGUAAAGGGAGCGUAGGCCGCAUGUCAAGCGUGCUGUGAAAUGUCCGGGCUCAACCCGGGCCUUGCAGCGCGAACUGGCGAGCUUGAGUCCGCGGAAGGCAGGCGGAAUUCGUCGUGUAGCGGUGAAAUGCUUAGAUAUGACGAAGAACCCCGAUUGCGAAGGCAGCUUGCUGCAGCGGAACUGACGCUGAUGCUCGAAAGCGCGGGUAUCGAACAGGAUUAGAUACCCCAGUAGUC
rnacentral:rRNA from 1 species